UACAGAGGUCUCGAGCGUUGUUCGGAUUCAUUGGGCGUAAAGGGUGCGUAGGCGGCGCGGUAAGUCGGGUGUGAAAUCUUGGAGCUUAACUCCGAAACUGCAUUCGAUACUGCCGUGCUUGAGGACUGGAGAGGAGACUGGAAUUUACGGUGUAGCGGUGAAAUGCGUAGAUAUCGUAAGGAAGACCAGUGGCGAAGGCGGGUCUCUGGACAGUUCCUGACGCUGAGGCACGAAGGCCAGGGGGAGGCAAACACGGG
rnacentral:rRNA from 1 species